GUAAACAAGGUUUCCGUAGGUGAACCUGCGGAAGGAUCAUUAUCGAGUUUUGACUGGGUUGUAGCUGGCCUUCCGAGGCAUGUGCACGCCCUGCUCAUCCACUCUACACCUGUGCACUUACUGUGGGCUUCAGAUCGUAAAACGGGUCCCUUUACCGGGUUUGCGGAGCGUGUCUGUGCCUGCGUUUAUCACAAACUCUAUAAAGUAUCAGAAUGUGUAUUGCGAUGUAACGCAUCUAUAUACAACUUUCAGCAACGGAUCUCUUGGCUCUCGCAUCGAUGAAGAACGCAGCGAAAUGCGAUAAGUAAUGUGAAUUGCAGAAUUCAGUGAAUCAUCGAAUCUUUGAACGCACCUUGCGCUCCUUGGUAUUCCGAGGAGCAUGCCUGUUUGAGUGUCAUGAAAUCUUCAACCUGCAAGCUUUUGUGGUUUGUAGGCUUGGACUUGGAGGCUUGUCGGCCGUUGUUGGUCGGCUCCUCUUAAAUGCAUUAGCUUGGUUCCUUGCGGAUCGGCUCUCAGUGUGAUAAUGUCUACGCUGCGACCGUGAAGCGUUUGGCGAGCUUCUAACCGUCUCAGUUGGAGACAACUUUAUGACCUCUGACCUCAAAUCAGGUAGGACUACCCGCUGAACUUAAGCAUAUCAAUAAGCGGAGGAAAAGAAACUAACAAGGAUUCCCCUAGUAACUGCGAGUGAAGGCGGGAAA
rnacentral:rRNA from 1 species